CUACGGGCCGCAGCAGUGGGGAAUAUUGGACAAUGGGGGAAACCCUGAUCCAGCAAUGCCACGUGUGUGAAGAAGGCCUGCGGGUUGUAAAGCACUUUCGGUUGGGAGGACUGCUUCUAGCACUAAUAUUGUUGGAAGUUGACGUUACCUUCAGAAGAAGCACCGGCUAACUCCGUGCCAGCAGCCGCGGUAAUACGGAGGGUGCAAGCCUUAAUCGGAAUUACUGGGCGUAAAGCGCGCGUAGGCGGCUAGAUCAGUCGGGUGUGAAAGCCCCGGGCUUAACCUGGGAACUGCAUCCGAUACUGUCUAGCUUGAGUACAGGAGAGGAGAGUGGAAUUCCACAUGUAGCGGUGAUAUGCGUAGAUAUGUGGAGGAACACCAAUGGCGAAGGCAGCUCUCUGGCCUGAUACUGACGCUGAGGUGCGAAAGCGUGGGGAGCAAACAGGAUUAGAUACCCGCGUAGUC
rnacentral:rRNA from 1 species